CCUACGGGAGGCAGCAGUGGGGAAUAUUGCACAAUGGGCGAAACCCUGAUGCAGCGACGCCGCGUGCGUGAAGAAGUAAUUCGUUAUGUAAAGCUCUUUCAGCAGGGAAGAAAAUGACGGUACCUGAGUCAGAAGCACCGGCUAACUACGUGCAAGCAGCCGCGGUAAUCUGUAGGGGGCAAGCGUUAUCCGGAUUGACUGGGUGUAAUGGGAGCGUAGACGGUAGUGCAGGUCUGGGGUGAAAGGCGGGGGCUCAACCCCCGGACUGCUGUGGAAACUGUACGGCUGGAGUGCAGGAGAGGUAGGUGGAAUGCCUAGUGUAGCGGUGAAAGGCGUAGAUAGUAGGAAGAACACCAGUGGCGAAGGCAGCUUACUGGACUGCAACUGACGUUGAGGCUCGAAAGCGUGGGGAGCAAACAGGAUUAGAUACCCGGGUAGUC
rnacentral:rRNA from 1 species